rnacentral:lncRNA from 1 species
GUGUGACUGUGAGCAGUCAGGGAACACUCAGCAGUCCUGCUUGUGUGCUCGGAGCAGAUAGUUGUCUGAGGAAGGAGGGCAGCAGGCCAUGCAUGACCGCACAGACACACCAGGAGAGAUAAUGGUGCCCAGCUACUCUUAAGAGCUGCAGAGAGUUUAGCUGUCCGUGUUUUCACAGCCUCUCUUUUGAAGACUUGUGUUUGCUUGCUCUUGUGCUAUAGUUUUUUGAUACCUCUCAGCUCUUUAUAUAUUUAUAUAUACACACAAACAUGGGGUGCUCCUCAUCCAGUGCACAGACUGUUGAUCAGGAGAAAAGACCAGGCACAAAGCCUGAGGAGAGCAAUGGAGACACAGUGGCCAUCAGGAACGGCAUCCUCGCAGAAGAUGCACAAACCAUCGAAGACCAGAUGCAGCUGCCUGUGCAGACUGCCUUACCAGAUGACCUUCAACCAGGUACUGAAGAUGAGGCAGAGGCCGUGUUAGUGGCCCUGGAAGCUCAGGAGGAUCUGGGCUCUGGUGUGGACCUCUUGGCUGCUCCUGAAGAACCAGCUACAGAAAUAGCAGCUCCUGCUCCAGUAGAAGACACUGUGGUGCUUGAGGCAGCUGUAGCAGCGGUGGAGACAGCAGCCCCUGUAGAAACUGUAGUGCCAGAGGCUCCUGCAGAGGUUGAAGCCCCUGUUGAGGUUACAGAGGAGGCCGCUGCUGUUGAAACAGUGCAGGUGGAGGCCCUUGUGGUUGUUGAGGAAGUGGCUGCUGUGCCAGCCGCUGAACCUGUUGUAUCUGAGCCAGCAGAGACCCCAGUGGCAGUGGAGGAGGCUGUAGCUGAGGCUGCAGUGGCUGCUGAAACUCAGGCUACUGAAACUACAGCUGAGGUGACUCCUGAAGCUCCAACAGAAGCAUCUGCUGAAACUCCAGCUUCUGAAGCUGCAGUUGAGGUGGCUGCCCCCGUGGAAGCACAGGCUCCGACUGACAAUUCUGCACCAGAGACUGCCUCCACAUUAACAAGUGAUGCUCCAGCACCAACUGAAGCUGCAGUACCAGCUGAGGAUUCAGUACCAAGUGAAGCUGCAGCAGCUGCUGAACCCUCUGCGCCUGCUAAAGCUGCAGAGCCCAUAAUAGACAAAGAGAUUGCUGCAGCUACUGUUCCAGAGAUGCCUCCUGUCUCAGCGGAGGCUCAGGAUGAGCCUCAGCCUGCCACUGAGGAGGCGUCAGAACCUCCCAUGGGCCUGGCCGAACCUGUCACAACAGUUGAAACGCCCUGCACCACAGAGGCCACCCCUGGACCUGCUGCAGCCGAGGUGGUCCAGAAUGUAGAAGUCACAGCAGCCACAGAAGCCGUCUCAGAAGCCCCUUCAGAUGUGGCUCCAGAGACCCCUGCAGACAGUUCAGCCCCUGUAGAGGCUCCGGCAGCUUCUGAAGCACCAUUAGCACCAGCUCCUGCUGCUGACCCAGCUCCUGAACCUUCACCAGAAGUGGUGUCUGCCAAUGAGGCCUCUCAGGAUACAGACAACGAGAAAGCCAAAAAGGAGGAUUGAGUUGAAAGAAAAGAUGCACCAAAAUAACAAAGAUCCAAAGACAACAAGAAGGAAAACAAAACACACUUAACCCUCAGUAUUCUCUCAUCAGCACUCACCAAACUCGACACGUUAACACUCACUGUGCCUUAAUAACUCUAGGAAAGAUGAGAGUUUUUCCUACACUUGUAUAUAAACUUUAAGCAGGAGGAAGACUUUUUCAGUGUGCCUUGAGCCACAUUCACUUCACAUGUAGGCCUCUAUACUGAAAGUGCUUUGGAAAAACACUUAAAGCAGGAAACUUGUGACAAGAGGGUGCAAUACUCGUCUGUGAGAUCUGUGAAUUUUUAUUCUUAACCUCAACUAGAGCGUUGACAGGUAGGGAGGAUGCUUGCCGUAAAUCCUUGACUCUUUUCUAAGCCAAGCAUGACUGUGAAUAAAAUUAUGCAAAGUGAAAAUCCGAACA